rnacentral:rRNA from 1 species
AUUGAACGCUGGCGGCAUACCUUACACAUGCAAGUCGAACGGUAACAGGUCUUCGGAUGCUGACGAGUGGCGAACGGGUGAGUAAUACAUCGGAACGUGCCCGAUCGUGGGGGAUAACGAAGCGAAAGCUUUGCUAAUACCGCAUACGAUCUACGGAUGAAAGCAGGGGACCGCAAGGCCUUGCGCGAACGGAGCGGCCGAUGGCAGAUUAGGUAGUUGGUGGGAUAAAAGCUUACCAAGCCGACGAUCUGUAGCUGGUCUGAGAGGACGACCAGCCACACUGGGACUGAGACACGGCCCAGACUCCUACGGGAGGCAGCAGUGGGGAAUUUUGGACAAUGGGCGAAAGCCUGAUCCAGCCAUGCCGCGUGCAGGAUGAAGGCCUUCGGGUUGUAAACUGCUUUUGUACGGAACGAAAAGACUCUGGUUAAUACCUGGGGUCCAUGACGGUACCGUAAGAAUAAGCACCGGCUAACUACGUG